CGAACGCUGGCGGCAUGCCUAACACAUGCACAUCGACCGAGACCUUCGGGUCUAGUGGCGCACGGGUGCGUACCGCGUGGGAACCUGCCCUUAGGUUCGGAAUAACUCCCCGAAAGGGGUGCUAAUACCGGAUAAUGUCUUCGGACCAAAGAUUUAUCGCCUUUGGAUGGGCCCGCGUUGGAUUAGCUAGUUGGUAGGGUAAAAGCCUACCAAGGCGACGAUCCAUAGCUGGUCUGAGAGGAUGAUCAGCCACACUGGGACUGAGACACGGCCCAGACUCCUACGGGAGGCAGCAGUGGGGAAUAUUGGACAAUGGGCGAAAGCCUGAUCCAGCAAUGCCGCGUGAGUGAUGAAGGCCUUAGGGUUGUAAAGCUCUUUUACCCGGGAUGAUAAUGACAGUACCGGGAGAAUAAGCUCCGGCUAACUCCGUG
rnacentral:rRNA from 1 species